AUCCAGCUGAUGAGUCCUAAAUAGGACGAAACGCGCGUCAAACUGGAU
rfam:Schistosoma mansoni strain Puerto Rico chromosome 4, complete genome